AAGCAUUCUUUAGAACUCUUCCAUACAAAGCUUUAUAUGGUUAGUUCACUAAGCAAAGACGUUGUGAGAAAUAUAUAAGAAAGCUUAGAAAAUAAUACUCCCUCACGGGUUUCACUCUUGUGCUUCACUCACUCUCUCAAUUUUCUCUGCUCAUGUUGAAUACCAAAAUUGAAUUCUAUUAAAUCAUGGUAAUCAAGAUUGUUUUAGAACACUUCAGGGAAUCCUAGGGAAAGAAAAGUGU
rnacentral:lncRNA from 1 species